rnacentral:rRNA from 1 species
CCCUUAGAUGUUCUGGGCUGCACGCGCGCUACACUGAUGCGUUCAACGAGUUUAUGACCUUGCCCGAUAGGGUUGGGUAAUCUUUUUAAAUCACAUCGUGAUGGGGAUAGAUUAUUGCAAUUAUUAAUCUUCAACGAGGAAUUCCUAGUAAGCGCAAGUCAUCAGCUUGCGUUGAUUACGUCCCUGCCCUUUGUACACACCGCCCGUCGCUCCUACCGAUUGAAUGGUCCGGUGAAGCGUUCGGACCGUGGCCUUUGGACGGUUCGCCGUCUGUUGGCUGCGGGAAGUUCGUUAAACCUUAUCAUUUAGAGGAAGGAGAAGUCGUAACA